rnacentral:sRNA from 1 species
UCAGUGGUGACAUCAGCGAAGAAUGACAGCAUGUCUCUAACAAAGAUGUGAAAACUGAGGCUUUUCAAAGUCACACAGUUAGCAAAAUGUGGAGCCGGAAUUCAAAUACAGGUUUCUGUGGCUUGAGAUCCCAGCUCUUCACCAUUAAACAAUAUCACCUUCAGAAAUGGCCUUUAUGCCUCCUGGUCUCAACAUAGAGCAGAAAGGACCAUCUGGACACCACAUAUGAGGAAAUCAGACAUCUCUAGGUUGAAUCAUGCCCAAAAGGACAAUUUCUUGUCAGAUAAACUGCUGUGUACUAAGUCUGAUAACUAACAGAAUUGCUAUAUGGUAAUUUUAACUGGAAAUUGUCCACUUUUAUCCUCCGGUUUUCUCUCUUAUUCCAUUGGUAACCACCCUGGGAGUUCUAAUGCCAUGUACGAGUGCUUAAAUCAACCCUCAGGUCGUGACAGUCAAGCUACAGUGGCUGUGAAAUAUCUGCACAGCAGAGUAUGCUAUGUCAUUGGCUCAAUCAGCAUAAUGCAGCAUAAUAGACUAGAAGCACACAAUUAUAUAAUGCCAUAAUUUGAUUUCUCUCUAAUUUCUGGACACAUCACAAAAUAAUCAAGGCAGUGAAAUGAAGUGUGAAGAAUAAUGGCUGAGUUUGGAGUCACAUCACUGCCACUUGCUAGCCUGUGUGACCUUAAACAAAUAAAAAACUUUCUUGA